rnacentral:rRNA from 1 species
GGUUUGGGAGGGGUUUACGAACUCCGCAUGGUGAAGGAAAGUGCCAAGAAAAGCUGGUAAUGUGAUGAAAGCAUCAUACCCGUACCCGAAACCGACACAGGUAGGGAGGUUGAGAAUACCAAGGGGCGCGAGAUAACUCUCUCUAAGGAACUCGGCAAAAUGGCCCCGUAACUUCGGAAGAAGGGGUGCCCACGAGAGUGGGUCGCAGUGAAGAGAUCCAGGCGACUGUUUACCAAAAACACAGGUCUCCGCUAACUCGAAAGAGGACGUAUGGGGGCUGACGCCUGCCCAGUGCCGGAAGGUUAAGGAAGUUGGUCAGGGGUUCGCCCUGAAGCUGACGACCGAAGCCCCGGUGAACGGCGGCCGUAACUAUAACGGUCCUAAGGUAGCGAAAUUCCUUGUCGGGUAAGUUCCGACCCGCACGAAAGGCGUAACGAUCUGGAUGGUGUCUCAGAGAGAGACUCGGCGAAAUAGGAAUGUCUGUGAAGAUACGGACUGCCUGCACCUGGACAGAAAGACCCUAUGAAGCUUUACUGUAGCCUGGAAUUGUGUUCGGGCUUGGCUUGCGCAGGAUAGGUGGGAAGCACAGAAGUACCCCUUGUGGGGGGUAUGGAGCUAACGGUGAGAUACCACUCUGGCGAAGCUAGAAUUCUAACCUAGCACCCUCAGCGGGUGUAGGAACAGUUUCAGGUGGGCAGUUUGACUGGGGCGGUCGCCUCCUAAAAGGUAACGGAGGCGCGCAAAGGUUCUCUCAGCACACUUGGAAACCGUGCGGCGAGUGUAAAGGCAUAAAGAGAGCUUGACUGCAAGAGUGACAACUCAAGCAGGGACGAAAGUCGGCCUUAGUGAUCCGACGGCACAGAAUGGAAUGGCCGUCGCUCAACGGAUAAAAGUUACUCUAGGGAUAACAGGCUGAUCUCCCCCAAGAGUCCACAUCGACGGGGAGGUUUGGCACCUCGAUGUCGGCUCAUCGCAACCUGGGGCGGAAGUACGUCCCAAGGGUUGGGCUGUUCGCCCAUUAAAGCGGUACGUGUGCUGGGUUCAGAACGUCGUGAGACAAUUCGGUCCAUAUCCGGUGCAGGCGUAAGAGCAUUGAGAGGAGCCUUCCUUAGUACGAGAGGACCGGGAAGGACGCACCGCUGGUGUACCAGUUAUUCCACCAGGAGUAGACGCUGGGUAGCUAAGUGCGGAGCGGAUAACCGCUGAAAGCGUCUAAGUGGGAAGCCCACCUCAAGAUGAGUGCUCUCACUACUAAAGUAGGUAAGGUCACGGGCAGAACACCCGUUUAUAGGCUCUAAGUGGAAGUACAGCAAUGUAUGUAGCUGAGGAGUCCUAACAGACCGAGGGCUUGU